ensembl:lncRNA
AAAAAAAAAAAAAAAAAAAAAAGAAAAAAGAAAAAAAGAAAAAAAGAAAAAAAAAAGAAAAUAGAAAUAAAAAAGAGAAAAAAAAUGAAAAAAAGAAAAAAAAAAAGAAAAGAAAAAAACAGUAGAUGAAAAAAGAAAAAACAAAAGGAAAAACGAAUAAUGACAAGAGAAGAAAGGUAAAGAGAAAAGAAGAAAAAAGCCAAGUCAAAAAAGAAAAGAAAAAAACAGUAGAUGAAAAAAGAAAAAACAAAAGGAAAAACGAAUAAUGACAAGAGAAGAAAGAUAAAGAAAAGAGAAAAGAAAAAAACAGUAGAUGAAAAAAGAAAAAACAAAAGGAAAAACGAAUAAUGACAAGAGAAGAAAGGUAAAGAGAAAAGAAGAAAAAAGCCAAGUGAAAAAGUAAAGAAUAACUCAAAGGAAGGAGUGGAUGGCAAGAAAUACAGAGA